GUUCUGGGGGUCGGUCAAAGGCUUUGGGAAUGUAUCUACCCUUCGGGCGUAGACUUAUAGCCCAGAGUGUCAUGCGGCCUCCCGGGACCGAGGAACGCGCUUCGGCUCGGAUGUUGGCGUAAUGGUUGUCAGCGA
rnacentral:rRNA from 1 species